AACGCACAUUGCGCCCUUUGGUAUUCCGAAGGGCAUGCCUGUUCGAGCGUCAUUAUAACCAAUCAAGCCUGGCUUGGUGUUGGGGUGCGCGGUUCUGCGGCCCCCGAAAUCAGUGGCAGUGCCUAUCUGGCUCUAAGCGUAGUAAUUUCUCCUCGCUAUAGGGCCCCAGUAGAUGCUUGCCAGAACCCCCCUAAUUAUUUACGGUUGACCUCGGAUCAGGUAGGGAUACCCGCUGAACUUAA
rnacentral:misc_RNA from 1 species